rnacentral:rRNA from 1 species
AACGAACGCUGGCGGCAGGCUUAACACAUGCAAGUCGAACGCCCCGCAAGGGGAGUGGCAGACGGGUGAGUAACGCGUGGGAAUCUACCUAGUUCUACGGAACAACAGUUGGAACGACUGCUAAUACCGUAUACGCCUAUGGGGAAAGAUUAUCGGAAUUAGAUGAGCCCGCGUAAGAUUAGCUAGUUGGUGGGGUAAUGGCCUACCAAGGCGACGAUCUUUAGCUGGUCUGAGAGGAUGAUCAGCCACACUGGGACUGAGACACGGCCCAGACUCCUACGGGAGGCAGCAGUGGGGAAUAUUGGACAAUGGGCGCAAGCCUGAUCCAGCCAUGCCGCGUGAGUGAUGAAGGCCUUAGGGUUGUAAAGCUCUUUCAGUGGGGAAGAUAAUGACGGUACCCACAGAAGAAGCCCGGCUAACUUCGUGCCAGCAGCCGCGGU